rnacentral:rRNA from 1 species
GACGAACGCUGGCGGCGUGCCUAAUACAUGCAAGUUGAGCGCUGAAGGUUGGUACUUGUACCAACUGGAUGAGCAGCGAACGGGUGAGUAACGCGUGGGGAAUCUGCCUUUGAGCGGGGGACAACAUUUGGAAACGAAUGCUAAUACCGCAUAAAAACUUUAAACACAAGUUUUAAGUUUGAAAGAUGCAAUUGCAUCACUCAAAGAUGAUCCCGCGUUGUAUUAGCUAGUUGGUGAGGUAAAGGCUCACCAAGGCGAUGAUACAUAGCCGACCUGAGAGGGUGAUCGGCCACAUUGGGACGGAGACACGGCCCAAACGCCUACGGGAGGCAGCAGUAGGGAAUCGUCGGCAAUGGACGAAAGUCUGACCGAGCAACGCCGCGUGAGUGAAGAAGGUUUUCGGAUCGUAAAACUCUGUUGGUAGAGAAGAACGUUGGUGAGAGUGGAAAGCUCAUCAAGUGACGGUAACUACCCAGAAAGGGACGGCUAACUACGUG